GGCAAUAGUUGGCUCGUAAAACUCCCCAUUCACCUCGUUGUUGACUUACCUUCUGAUUAUACCAUUGUCUAGCUUCUCCCCUUAAAGAAAAAGGAAAAAGCUUCCAACAUAAAGUUUUAUCAGAAAUGCCUUCAAUGCGAAGACAAUCACAUGUUUGCUCAAAAUCUCUAAUAUGAAGGUAAGGGUUUUUGUCUUCCUUUACUAAAAAAGAUAGGUUUUGAAUCAUGGCAAUCAACCUGGAACUUAACCUAUACUGGGAUGCUAUAGGCUGUGAUGACUCCCAUGGUAAAAGGUCAGUUACCGAAGGUGUUGCAAAUUGGUAGAUUGAUUUAGAAUCUUGGUUUUCCAUGAGGUAAGAAUAAAGAAAAUAAAUAAAGAAUAUAAAAGAUAAGAAAAGAUAAAAAUAUAGAUACAAGCUAGUAGUAAGACUCAAGGUUAUCUCAGCAAACCGUCUUUCUCCCCGGCAACGACGCCAGAAAUACUUGUUGAUAUUUGGUAACGCAAUAAGGAAUUGAUCCGCAAGCGCACGGAUAUCGGUGAGCACUUCACCCGGGAAAUUAUCCAGAGUAUCGUAUUUAUAUUUUUACCACUAGGAGAAAGAGUGCAUCUGACUAACCUGGUCUAUUACUACUAACCUUUAGGCUACAAAGAAUAUUUCUCGAUGUGAGUGAUAUAUAGAGAAGACUGCAACCGUAGUCUCUUUCUAACCUUGGUAAGGAUAAUCUACUAUUCUGAUGGGGAAGCUUACGGAAUCUAGACACCAC
rnacentral:lncRNA from 1 species